rnacentral:ncRNA from 1 species
CGGUGCCUUUGCUGCGAUUGAAGACAAAGGGUAAAAGGGAAACAGGUGAAAGGCCUGUGCGAUCUCGUCACUGUAUGCGGAAAAGCUUUUCAUGCGUCAAGCACGCAGCCACUGGGAAACCGGGAAGGCGAUGAGCAAACUGCCGCCAGCCAGGAAACCUGCCGUCUGU